CCUACGGGUGGCAGCAGUGAGGAAUAUUGGUCAAUGGACGCAAGUCUGAACCAGCCAUGCCGCGUGAAGGAUGACGGCCCUAUGGGUUGUAAACUGCUUUUAUAAGGGAGUAAAAGGAGGUACGUGUGCCUGUUUGCAAGUACUGUAUGAAUAAGGAUCGGCUAACUCCGUGCCAGCAGCCGCGGUAAUACGGAGGAUCCGAGCGUUAUCCGGAUUUAUUGGGUUUAAAGGGUGCGUAGGUGGUUUGAUAAGUUAGUGGCGAAAUCCCGGGGCUCAACUUCGGCAUUGCCACCAAAACUGUCCGACUAGAGAGUAGGAGCGGUAAGCGGAAUUCCUGGUGUAGCGGUGGAAUGCGUAGAUAUCAGGCGGAACACCAGUGGCGAAGGCGGCUUGCCGGACUGUAACUGACGCUGAGGCACGAAAGCGUGGGGAGCAAACAGGAUUAGAUACCCUUGUAGUC
rnacentral:rRNA from 1 species